GACGAGGGAUCCUAGCGUUGUUCGGAAUUAUUGGGCGUAAAGAGGGCGUAGGUGGCUUUGUAAGUCGGGUGUGAAAGCCCAGGGCUCAACCCUGGAAGUGCAUUCGAUACUGCGAAGCUUGAAUGUGGUAGAGGCUACUGGAAUACCUGGUGUAGUGGUGAAAUACGUAGAUAUCAGGUGGAACACCGGAGGCGAAAGCGGGUAGCUGGACCAACAUUGACGCUGAGGCCCGAAAGUGCAGGGAUCAAACAGG
rnacentral:rRNA from 1 species